AUAAAGUUUUAUUUUGACUUGAAUAAUUAAGUUAUUUACUAUUUAUAUGUAAAUUUUUGUGUGCUAAAAUAAAAAUUUUAAAAAUUAUAUUCUUAAGCGCAGUAUGUAAAUUUAAAAAUUUACGAAAGUAAGAUUUAGAGAUAAGUAAUAGUUUUGACCAAUCUUGUGCCAGCAGUAGCGGUUAUACGAGGGAUGCAAUUAUUUAUUAUUAAUUUAUAGUUUAUUGAAUAUUAGUUUUUUAUAAAAGUAUAAUUAUUAAGUGAAAUUUUUAUUUUAUAUUUAUAAUAAUUAAGAAUAUAUUUGAAGCUAUGAAAUUUUAGUAUUAAACUAGGAUUAGAUACCCUAUUAUUUUAAAAUGUUAAAUUGUAAUUAAGUUAGUAUUAGAUAUGAUCUUUAAAGCUUAAAAAUUUGGCGGUAUUUUAGUCUUUUCAGAGGAACCUGUCCUGUAAUCGAUAGUCCACGAUAAAUUGAGCUUAUUUUAAUUAGUUUGUAUAUCGUUGUAGUUGAGUAUUUCAUAAGAAUUUAAAUAUUCAUAAUUAAUAAUUAUUAUAUAAAUCAGAUCAAGGUGCAGCUUAUAAAUAAGAAUGAGAUGGGUUACAAUAAAUGUUAUUUAUUACGGAUUUGUGAUUGUAAAUUGCAAUAAAGGUGGAUUUGUAAGUAAUGGUAAAUAUUUUUUUAUUAUGAUUUUGGCUCUAAAAUAUGCACAUAUUGCCCGUCGCUUUCAAUUAAGUUGGAAUAAGUCGUAACAAAGUAGAUGUACUGGAAAGUGUUUCUGGAAA
rnacentral:ncRNA from 1 species